GAUUAAGUUAUUAAGGGCGCACGGUGGAUGCCUUGGCACUAGAAGCCGAUGAAGGACGUUACUAACGACGAUAUGCUUUGGGGAGCUGUAAGUAAGCUUUGAUCCAGAGAUUUCCGAAUGGGGAAACCCAGCAUGAGUUAUGUCAUGUUAUCGAUAUGUGAAUACAUAGCAUAUCAGAAGGCACACCCGGAGAACUGAAACAUCUUAGUACCCGGAGGAAGAAAAAGAAAAUUCGAUUCCCUUAGUAGCGGCGAGCGAAACGGGAAGAGCCCAAACCAACAAGCUUGCUUGUUGGGGUUGUAGGACACUCUAUACGGAGUUACAAAGGACGACAUUAGACGAAUCAUCUGGAAAGAUGAAUCAAAGAAGGUAAUAAUCCUGUAGUCGAAAAUGUUGUCUCUCUUGAGUGGAUCCUGAGUACGACGGAACACGUGAAAUUCCGUCGGAAUCU
rnacentral:rRNA from 1 species